GCCCGGCUAGCUCAAUCGGUAGAGCGUGAGACUCUUAAAUUCAGAGAGAUCUCCGAUUAAAUCUCAAGGUUGUGGGUUCGACCCCCACGUCGGGCU